AACGAACGCUGGCGGCAGGCCUAACACAUGCAAGUCGAACGCGCGUAGCAAUACGCGAGUGGCGCACGGGUGAGUAACACGUGGGAACCAACCCAGAGGUUCGGAAUAACCGCGGGAAACUGCGGCUAAUACCGGAUAUCCCCCAAGGGGGAAAGAUUUAUCGCCUCUGGACGGGCCCGCGUCCGAUUAGCUAGUUGGUGAGGUAAUGGCUCACCAAGGCGACGAUCGGUAGCUGGUCUGAGAGGACGACCAGCCACACUGGAACUGAGACACGGUCCAGACUCCUACGGGAGGCAGCAGUGGGAAUAUUGGGCAAUGGAGGCAACUCUGACCCAGCCAUGCCGCGUGGGUGACGAAGGUCUUCGGAUUGUAAAGCUCUUUCGGUGGGAACGAACGGGUACGGUGAAUAGCCGUGCUCAAAUGACGGUACUCACAGAAGAAGCACCGGCUAACUACGUGCCAGCCGCCGCGGU
rnacentral:rRNA from 1 species